UUGACGGGACCGCACAAGCGGUGGAUGAUGUGGAUUAAUUCGAUGCAACGCGAAAACCUUACCCACCUUGACAUGUACGGAAUCCUUUAGAGAUAGAGGAGUGCUCGAAAGAGAACCGUAACACAGGUGCUGCAUGGCUGUCGUCAGCUCGUGUCGUGAGAUGUUGGGUUAAGUCCCGCAACGAGCGCAACCCUUGUCAUUAGUUGCUACAUUCGGUUGGGCACUCUAAUGAGACUGCCGGUGACAAACCGGAGGAAGGUGGGGAUGACGUCAAGUCCUCAUGGCCCUUAUAGGUGGGGCUACACACGUCAUACAAUGGAUGGUACAAAGGGUCGCCAACCCGCGAGGGGGAGCCAAUCCCAUAAAGCCAUUCGUAGUCCGGAUCGCAGUCUGCAACUCGACUGCGUGAAGUCGGAAUCGCUAGUAAUCGUGGAUCAGAAUGUCACGGUGAAUACGUUCCCGGGCCUU
rnacentral:rRNA from 1 species